rnacentral:rRNA from 1 species
GACGAACGCUGGCGGCGUGCUUAACACAUGCAAGUCGAACGGGCCCGCCCCUGUUUUUGGGGGUGGGUUGAGUGGCGAACGGGUGAGUAUCACGUGAGUAACCUGCCCCCUGCUCCUGGAUAACUGCUUGAAAGGGCGGCUAAUACGGGGUGUGCCGGCUGGUCCGCAUGGGCCUGGUCGGGAUAGUUUCAUCUUCGGGUGUUUCGGUGGGGGAUGGGCUCGCGGCCUAUCAGCUUGUUGGUGGGGUGAUGGCCCACCAAGGCGGUGACGGGUAGCCGGCCUGAGAGGGUGGGCGGCCACACUGGGACUGAGACACGGCCCAGACUCCUGCGGGAGGCAGCAGUGGGGGGUAGUGCACAAUGGGCGGAAGCCUGAUGCAGCGACGGCGCGUGAGGGAUGGAGGCCUUCGGGUGGUGAACCUCUUUCUCCGGUGGUGAAGGCCCUGUCCGGUGCGGCGGGGUUGACGGUAGCCGGGUAUGAAGCGCCGGCUAACUACGUG